GUGCCAGCCGCCGCGGUAAAACGUAGGAGGCAAGCGUUAUCCGGAAUUACUGGGCGUAAAGCGCAUGCAGGCGGCCCCUUAAGUCGGACGUAAAAGCUCCCGGCUCAACUGGGAGAGGCCGUUCGAAACUGGAGGGCUUGAGGAUGGUAGAGGCGAGUGGAAUUCCCGGUGUAGUGGUGAAAUGCGUAGAUAUCGGGAGGAACACCAGUGGCGAAGGCGGCUCGCUGGGCCAUUCCUGACGCUCAGAUGCGAAAGCUAGGGGAGAGAACGGGAUUAGAUACCCUAGUAGUCC
rnacentral:rRNA from 1 species